UGCGGUGUUUUUGAUUUGUAGAAUUUCGGAAAAAAUCGUUAUUUACAUUUAUUAAACAAAAAUAUUGAAAAUUAGUUACUAUUUUCUACAGAGUUUUCAUUAGUGUUGAAUCAUAUCAUUUAGGUUGGAUUUUCUGCAGCCUUGUUUGGAAUAUGUGCCAUUGACCAACAUACAUAUGUACAUUGAUGAGUGGAGUUCCUAAAAGAAAUACCACAGCGAACCAUACCAUAGCGCGGCGUUUAUCAGACUUCCACCACACAGUGUCACACAACAAAAGUUAAGGUCACUUACCUUAUAUCAAGAACAAAAUAUGCGCAUAAAAGAUAUAUUUAUAUAUUGAUUUACGGCAUCAAAGGACAGCCUAUUGUUCCUACGUGGUUAUUUACACGUUUUCUUUCGCCUCAUAACUAUACGACUACAAUUCGACAUGCGUAACAACAGCGAUUAUUAUUUGGAAAAUAAUGUACAUUUUAAUAAAAACAGUACCAAGAAAGAAAAAUCAGCACCACGUUACUGUAGUGUGGACAAUACAUUUAACUAUUACAAUAAAUCAAACAUAAGUGGUCCUAGCUGUCUACUAGCAAACCAAGAAAUAACAAAGGAGGCCGUUCUCAAAAAAAUAUCCAGAUCGAACUGCCGUCAGACACCUGCCAAUUGGGCGCUUAAAUCUGCGUGCUGUUCUGAUGUAUUUACAAAGUCACUUUGCGAUCAACGAAGUAAUAUCAGUGGUGCGUUAUCAAACAAGAGUCGAGGAUAUGUCUACCAGCAAGUUCGUCAAGCAGACGAAUAUUUAAAUGGUACACAGCACAACAUGCUUUUAUAUAAUGCGGGCAAAGAUCAACCGAGGGCGCUAAAAACAGAUAUUUUCGAAGAACAGGAACAAAAGAACUGGAAAGAAAGAAUAACUCGUAGAACUGAAUAUCUGGAAAAUAUACCAGACAGAGAUAACAGCCUAAAUUCUCAUUCGCCAGAGCCAACAUGGGAUUCUAUACUAUCAGAAGUACCUACGCAGCACCAUACGACUAACCAGCACUACGAACACUAUUUUUCAUAUUUUUAUAACCGUGGAACUGAAAAAGUGUCGAAUCUUCCCUCAGUCACAAGUAAUCGAAAUUUGCCAAUGACUGAAUUUAAAAACUCCUUAAGUCGACGAGACUUGCGAGACGUUAACGCGACCACUACCGGGCAAAGAGAGCCAUUAAAGGGAGCGGGAUGUCAUAAUUCGACGUUCGAAAAACACAUACUAAAGGAAAAAUUACCCAGUAAUUAUUUGUGUAAAAAUUAUAGUGACAAUGGAUGGGGAGAAGCUGAAGACUAUCAUGAAUCAAUGCUGAAGAAGGCUGGUGAAGAAUAUCUUGAUAUGAAAGAUUUAUAUGACUCCGAGGCUAUAAUCGAAACUCAAUUCGACCCGGUACAUCGGCGCCUUAAAUUGUCUGAGAAUAGUGCUAUAGAUUCAUCAGGAGUUGAUUCAGCCAAUAACAGUGCAAGUAAAAACGAACCUUUAGAUGAGUCGCCACCAUGUUUUCCCACGAACCAAAAAAGAAUCAAAGGAACUAUAACUUCCGUUAAAAAGUCAUUGCCCACUGUUCACAGAGUCUUGUUGUACAGUACUCAAAGUCCGCGAAUGGGGCGCAAGCAACAGUUCGCGACACAUCGCAAUUUAAACUUAAAAAACCAAAUCUCCAAAACGCUAGAACCCGAAGACACUCGUCUUCCCACUGUUCUAUUAGUUGAGCCUGAAUCUAAAGAUGAAAUAUAUCAAAGUCACACAGACUCUGAUCGGAACCCUGAUUUCAACGAUGACGACGACUUGGACAAUAUUUCAAAUUUCGACGAAAGCGACACAGAAAGCUUGAUCUCCGACGCUGAAGAUGGCUACCGGGCUCAUGCCUAUAAGCUUACGCAUUCUGUUGAUAGAUUUUCAUCCCCCCAAAGCACACCAAGCUUGUCGGCUCAGUCUUCAGAAUAUGACCUUAAGAAUCCAGAGUCGCUCCUGGUACCCAGUUUAUUUCCCUAUGUACCACCGUAUUUGUCGUUCUCAUCGAACACAUCAAAGGGCCCAAGUGUUCCGCCGGAGCUUCAUAGAGUGCUCAAGUGGCGGGUUACCAACAUAAUGCCAAAAGUUGUGCGCCUGAUUUUAGCCAACAGCGGAAUGCGAAUGUUAAAGAAAACCAAUGAUUGGAUGGGAGUGUGGGGCAAGCAUUUAAGGUCACCGUGUUUCAAGACCAUCCGUUCAUAUCAGAAAAUAAACCAUCUGCCUGGCUCCUUUCGUAUCGGCAGAAAGGAUUCCUGCUGGAAAAAUUUGCAAAGACAGAUGAGCAAACACAGCAAUAAAGAGUUUGGCUUCAUGCCGCGGACAUAUAUUAUCCCCAACGAUCUAUGUGCAUUACGCCGUCAUUGGCCAAAAUACUCACAGCGUAAUACUAAGUGGAUUAUCAAGCCACCGGCCAGUGCACGAGGGGCUGGUAUUCGCGUUAUUAAUAGAUGGGGACAGAUCCCAAAGCGAAGACCACUUAUUGUGCAAAAGUAUAUAGAACGUCCGCUACUUAUUAAUGGUAGUAAAUUUGACUUGCGUCUCUAUGUCCUCGUUACUUCCGUAAACCCGCUGAGAGUUUUCAUGUAUCAUAACGGCUUGGCUCGAUUCGCUUCAGUAAAGUACAGUUCCAGGGCAGACACUUUAGGCGAUAGGUGCAUGCAUUUGACAAAUUAUAGCAUCAACAAGUUUUCUUCUAAUUACUCAAAAAAUGAAGAUGUAAAUGCCUGCCAUGGUCAUAAGUGGACCAUAAAGUCACUGUGGACAUAUUUAGCUAACCGAGGGGUUCGAACAGACUGUCUGUGGGAAGCCUUAAGAAGUUUAGUCCUGCGGACUAUUCUAGCUGGCGAGAAUGGUAUAAAUAGUAUGAUUAGAGCCAAUGUUGAGUCAAAAUACAGCUGCUUUGAGCUGUUUGGCUUUGAUGUAAUUUUGGAUUCAGAUUUAGUUCCGUGGCUAUUAGAAGUUAAUAUAUCUCCAAGUUUACACUCUGAAUUGCCAUUGGACUCCCAUGUCAAGGCCCCCCUUGUACAAGGUGUGCUAAACACGGCACUGUAUAACGUGCCUCCAAAACUAUCUCAAGAGAAGCAAAAAGAACUAGCUGCGGAACUUUCAUUUCCAAGUGGCACACAAAUGUGUUACGAUAAGCGACUCUACAUAAACUAUUUAUCUCGCGAAGAGAAGGAAAAGCAUAUCACAUUCACACGAAAGUCUAUAGACGAUAGGAAUGAGUACACAAACUCAAUUCUGCAUAAGCUAACUCCUGAUGAUGUUCGAUGCCUCAUCAUUGCGGAAGAUGAGUUGGCGCGAUGCGCACCACUAGAACGUAUCUUCCCAACGGAUCAGACUCAUAAGUACCUAAAAUACAAUGAUACUCCACGAUAUUACAAUCGUCUGUUAGAUGCCUGGGAGUCUCGCUACGCAAACAAUCGUGCGGAAGGCAUCGCAUUGUUACGCGAUUAUUGUCAAAACAAGUAUCAUCUUCAAGUUCCAACAUGUCCAAACAAAAAGGUUUCGAACGAUAGUUGUGAUGAACUUAAUCUCAAGACUUUAAUAUCUCUACGAGAAAAUGAAACUAAUGCUUAAGAUCACAACCGAUUCAAAUAUUUUUUAAAUUCUCAUAAAGAACGUCGUAAUAAGAUGAUGCAUAUCAAAAACACACCAUUAACCCUGGCUUUCCUUUAGAACAAAUACCGUUUGGACCGUAAUAAAUUUAAGCCAAUUUUUAAAUUUAGUGUUAAGGCUUAAAAAAAGGUAGCCGAUGUGUUCGGCCUCUAAGAAAUUUAUAUAUUAUGUAAGAUAAAUAGAAAACGCCAAGUUUCGAACGAUAGUUGUGAUGAACUUAAUCUCAAGACUUUAAUAUCUCUACGAGAAAAUGAAACUAAUGCUUAAGAUCACAACCGAUUCAAAUAUUUUUUAAAUUCUCAUAAAGAACGUCGUAAUAAGAUGAUGCAUAUCAAAAACACACCAUUAACCCUGGCUUUCCUUUAGAACAAAUACCGUUUGGACCGUAAUAAAUUUAAGCCAAUUUUUAAAUUUAGUGUUAAGGCUUAAAAAAAGGUAGCCGAUGUGUUCGGCCUCUAAGAAAUUUAUAUAUUAUGUAAGAUAAAUAGAAAACGCCAAGUUUCGAACGAUAGUUGUGAUGAACUUAAUCUCAAGACUUUAAUAUCUCUACGAGAAAAUGAAACUAAUGCUUAAGAUCACAACCGAUUCAAAUAUUUUUUAAAUUCUCAUAAAGAACGUCGUAAUAAGAUGAUGCAUAUCAAAAACACACCAUUAACCCUGGCUUUCCUUUAGAACAAAUACCGUUUGGACCGUAAUAAAUUUAAGCCAAUUUUUAAAUUUAGUGUUAAGGCUUAAAAAAAGGUAGCCGAUGUGUUCGGCCUCUAAGAAAUUUAUAUAUUAUGUAAGAUAAAUAGAAAACGCCAAGUUUCGAACGAUAGUUGUGAUGAACUUAAUCUCAAGACUUUAAUAUCUCUACGAGAAAAUGAAACUAAUGCUUAAGAUCACAACCGAUUCAAAUAUUUUUUAAAUUCUC